AUGGUUUCUGUCUUCUCCACCCGGGCCAGAGGGCCGUGGUGGUGGAUAAGGACCUUGCAUCAGUCACGCAACCGGAGGAAAGGAACCGAUCGAGUAGGUGUUUCUCCGGGCUCCGUCCGGCUCCGCGGGCGAACCCGGCUCUGGACCCGACGUGGGCUCGGGCGGACUGAUCCGCCCCGUGAAGUGCGUCGGCACCGAGCGUUCCUUUUUCCCCGGAGCCCGGAAGAGGGACUGAGGAAACUGAUGAACUUUAACAAACCGCCUUCGCAUCCCUCGCCUCCCUCCCCAGCCCGGCCCUGCACACACCGCUCCGCGCCGUCCGCUCGCGUCAGGUCAGCUGUCAACACAACCCUUUGUGUCUCCGUCGGCACAAGCAGGGUCCCCAGCCCCUCUCAGAGAAAUUCGAACGAUGGCCGGAGGACACGCGCGCGCGCGCCCGUGACCGAGUGACAUUUCGUGCGGAGCCGAGCCGCCCGGGCACCCCGGGCAAACGCCCGGCCACCGCCGGACGCUCCCAACUUUCCACCCGGGGCUCAGCUCUCUCCAUCCUCGCGCGUCACCUCCGCGCCUCCCUACCUGCCGCCCCCGACCCCGCGCCCGGGAGACCCCCCUCGGCGGCCCGCGGGCUCCGGGAGACGCUCCCCAGGGGCGCUCCCCGCCUCCCUCAGCCCUCCGGCACGGGCUCCCUCGCUCCCGCCACAAAGGCGGCGGUGACAGGCCUCUGGCCUUGGGGCGCGGACCGCACGGACUGGGUCUCCUCGUGGGGCUUGAGGCUGGCACGGGCGCCCAGCCUCGCCGUACAAACGCAGCAGCGCUCACGACCCGCGCUCCGCCGGGCCAGCCCUCCGAAAAAAGUCAGCCGCGCGCCGGCCUGCGCAGCCAGGGUGUGCACAGCCCGCCAAAGGGCAGCGGCGCGCGCUCGCGCCCGGCUGGCCACCUCUCAUCACCACCGCCCCCGCGCCCCGCCGCCUCCCC
rnacentral:lncRNA from 1 species